rnacentral:ncRNA from 1 species
AUUACAGAGUUGCAAACUCCCUAAACCAUUGUGAACGUUACCUUCAAACCGUUGCUUCGGCGGGCGGCCCGGGUCCGCCCGGUGCCCCCUGGCCCCCUAGCGGGGCGCCCGCCGGAGGAAACCCAACUCUUGAUACAUUAUGGCCUCUCUGAGUCUUCUGUACUGAAUAAGUCAAAACUUUCAACAACGGAUCUCUUGGUUCUGGCAUCGAUGAAGAACGCAGCGAAAUGCGAUAAGUAAUGUGAAUUGCAGAAUUCAGUGAAUCAUCGAAUCUUUGAACGCACAUUGCGCCCGCCAGUAUUCUGGCGGGCAUGCCUGUUCGAGCGUCAUUUCAACCAUCAAGCCCCAGGCUUGUGUUGGGGACCUGCGGCUGCCGCAGGCCCUGAAAACCAGUGGCGGGCUCGCUGUCACACCGGGCGUAGUAGAUUUUAUCUCGCUCAGGGCGUGCUGCGGGUUCCGGCCGUUAAAAAGCCUUUUUUACCCAAGGUUGACCUCGGAUCAGGUAGGAAGACCCGCUGAACUUAAGCAUAUCAAUAAGCGGAGGAAAAGAAACCAACAGGGAUUGCCCCAGUAACGGCGAGUGAAGCGGCAACAGCUCAAAUUUGAAAUCUGGCUUCGGCCCGAGUUGUAAUUUGCAGAGGAAGCUUUAGGCGCGGCACCAUCUGAGUCCCCUGGAACGGGGCGCCACAGAGGGUGAGAGCCCCGUAUAGAUGGACGCCUAGCCUGUGUAAAGCUCCUUCGACGAGUCGAGUAGUUUGGGAAUGCUGCUCAAAAUGGGAGGUAAAUUUCUUCUAAAGCUAAAUACCGGCCAGAGACCGAUAGCGCACAAGUAGAGUGAUCGAAAGAUGAAAAGCACUUUGAAAAGAGGGUUAAAUAGCACGUGAAAUUGUUGAAAGGGAAGCGCUUGUGACCAGACUUGCGCCGGGCGGAUCAUCCGGUGUUCUCACCGGUGCACUCCGCCCGGCUCAGGCCAGCAUCGGUUCUCGUGGGGGGAUAAAGGCACCGGGAACGUAGCUCCUCCGGGAGUGUUAUAGCCCGGGGCGUAAUGCCCUCGCGGGGACCGAGGACCGCGCAUCUGCAAGGAUG